AUUGAACGCUGGCGGCAGGCCUAACACAUGCAAGUCGAGCGGAUGAAGGGAGCUUGCUCCUGGAUUCAGCGGCGGACGGGUGAGUAAUUCCUAGGAAUCUGCCUGGUAGUGUGGGAUAACGUCCGGAAACGGGCGCUAAUACCGCAUACGUCCUGAGGGAGAAAGUGGGGGAUCUUCGGACCUCACGCUAUCAGAUGAGCCUAGGUCGGAUUAGCUAGUUGGUGGGGUAAAGGCCUACCAAGGCGACGAUCCGUAACUGGUCUGAGAGGAUGAUCAGUCACACUGGAACUGAGACACGGUCCAGACUCCUACGGGAGGCAGCAGUGGGGAAUAUUGGACAAUGGGCGAAAGCCUGAUCCAGCCAUGCCGCGUGUGUGAAGAAGGUCUUCGGAUUGUAAAGCACUUUAAGUUGGGAGGAAGGGCAGUAAGUUAAUACCUUGCUGUUUUGACGUUACCAACAGAAUAAGCACCGGCUAACUUCGUG
rnacentral:rRNA from 1 species